GCUGGGUGUUGUGGUGGGUGCCUGUAGUCUUAGCUACUCAGGAGGCCGAGGCAAGAGAAUUGCCUAAGCCCAGGAGUUGGAGGUUGCUGUGAGCUGUGACACCACAGCAUUCUACUGAGGGUGAUAAAGUGAGACUCUGUCUCUACAAAAAAAAAAAAAAAUAAAGGAGUUAAUAAACAUUUUGGAUUUUUUCUUUUUUUAGAGACAGAGAUUUCCAUUUUAUCACCCUCGGUAGAGUGCUGUAGCGUCACAGCUCACAGGAACCUCCAACUCCUGGGCUUAGGCAAUUCUCUUGCCUU
rfam:Otolemur garnettii contig084625, whole genome shotgun sequence.